rnacentral:lncRNA from 1 species
ACAGUGACUUAUAAGGAUGUACAUGUGAACUUCACUCAGGAAGAGUGGGCUUUGCUGGAUCCCUUCCAGAAGAAGCUCUACAAAGAUGUCAUGCUGGAGACAUACAGGAACCUCAAUGCUAUAGGCUUUAAUUGGGAAGACCAAAAUAUUGAGGAACAUUGUCAAAGUUCUAGAAGACAGAGAAGGUACUUCUUAUAUGCAAGCUCAUACAAAUAUGCCUCUGAAGAAAUUUUAAUGUGUGCUGAAAGUUUGAAAGUAAAGCAACAGUGUAAAUAAGAACUGCUUUAAAUAUAUUGGUGAUCGAUACAUGAUAACAAAACCAUGGUAUUCCAUGUGCUUUUAUCUGAUUUGUUUUUGCAAUGCAAUUUUUUAAGAAAGUGGACUUGGAAACAAUGCCUUAGUGUAUAUCACCAUUUGAAAGACAACCCUAUUAGAACUACACUGUACAACUGGCAGUACAUUUCUGUUAAUUUUGUAAAAGCUCCACAUGUUGAAUAGUUGACAAAUACAUGUUGAAAAGCUUCUAAUAAGCUCAUUCCGAUAUUA